rnacentral:rRNA from 1 species
CUGAAUAUGGGGGGACCAUCCUCCAAGGCUAAAUACUACUGACUGACCGAUAGUGAACCAGUACCGUGAGGGAAAGGCGAAAAGAACCCCUGUGAGGGGAGUGAAAUAGAACCUGAAACCGUGUACGUACAAGCAGUAGGAGCAGGCUUUGUCCUGUGACUGCGUACCUUUUGUAUAAUGGGUCAGCGACUUAUAUUCAGUGGCAAGGUUAACCAUCUAGGGGAGCCGUAGGGAAACCGAGUCUUAACUGGGCGUUCAGUCUCUGGAUAUAGACCCGAAACCAGGUGAUCUAGCCAUGGGCAGGUUGAAGGUUGAGUAACAUCAACUGGAGGACCGAACCGACUAAUGUUGAAAAAUUAGCGGAUGACUUGUGGCUAGGGGUGAAAGGCCAAUCAAACCUGGAGAUAGCUGGUUCUCCCCGAAAGCUAUUUAGGUAGCGCCUCGGACGAAUACUACUGGGGGUAGAGCACUGUUAAGGCUAGGGGGUCAUCCCGACUUACCAACCCUUUGCAAACUCCGAAUACCAGUAAGUACUAUCCGGGAGACACACGGCGGGUGCUAACGUCCGUCGUGGAGAGGGAAACAACCCAGACCGCCAGCUAAGGUCCCAAAUUACUACUAAGUGGGAAACGAUGUGGGAAGGCUCAGACAGCCAGGAUGUUGGCUUAGAAGCAGCCAUCAUUUAAAGAAAGCGUAAUAGCUCACUGGUCGAGUCGGCCUGCGCGGAAGAUGUAACGGGGCUAAGUAGUAAACCGAAGCUGCGGCAAUAUACUUUUGUAUAUUGGGUAGGGGAGCGUUCUGUAAGCGGUUGAAGGUGUGUGGUAACGCAUGCUGGACGUAUCAGAAGUGCGAAUGCUGACAUGAGUAACGAUAAAGGGGGUGAAAAACCUCCUCGCCGGAAGACCAAGGGUUCCUGUCCAACGUUAAUCGGGGCAGGGUAAGUCGACCCCUAAGGCGAGGCCGAAAGGCGUAGUCGAUGGGAAACGGGUUAAUAUUCCCGUACUUCUUACAAUUGCGAUGGGGGGACGGAGAAGGCUAGGUGGGCCUGGCGACGGUUGUCCAGGUUCAAGUGCGUAGGCUUAAGA